rnacentral:rRNA from 1 species
CAAUAGCGUAUAUUAAAGUUGUUGCAGUUAAAAAGCUCGUAGUUGGAUCUCAGGUCCAGGCUUGCGGUCCACUCCUUGGUGGCUACUGCUCGUCCUGACCUACCUCCCGGUUUUACCCUUGGUGCUCUUGAUUGAGUGUCUCGGGUGGCCGGAACAUUUACUUUGAAAAAUUAGAGUGUUCAAAGCAGGCAAUUCGCCUGAAUAAUGGUGCAUGGAAUAAUGGAAUAGGACCUCGGUUCUAUUUUGUUGGUUUUCGGAACUUGAGGUAAUGAUUAAGAGGGACAGACGGGGCAUUCGUAUUACGGUGUUAGAGGUGAAAUUCUUGGAUUAACGGAAGAUGAACUACUGCGAAAGCAUCUGCCAAGGAUGUUUUCAUUGAUCAAGAACGAAAGUUAGGGGAUCGAAGAUGAUUAGAUACCA